ensembl:snRNA U6 U6 spliceosomal RNA
GUGCUUGCUUCAGCAGCACAUACACUAAAAUUGGAAGGAUACAGAAGAUUAGUGUGGCUCCUGCGCAAGGAUGACAUGCAAAUUUGUGAAGUGUUCCAUAUUUAA